UGGGGGAUAUUGCACAAUGGGCGCAAGCCUGAUGCAGCGACGCCGCGUGGGGGAUGAAGGCCUUCGGGUUGUAAACUUCUUUUGCUCUGAACAAGGCGCACUUUGGGGUGUGUUGAGUGUAGGGGUUGAUUAGCGCCGGCUAACUACGUGCCAGCAGCCGCGGUAAUACGUAGGGCGCGAGCGUUGUCCGGAAUUAUUGGGCGUAAAGGGCUUGUAGGUGGCUGGUUGCGUCUGUCGUGAAAGCUCAUGGCUUAACUGUGGGUUUGCGGUGGAUACGGGCUGGCUUGAGUGCAGUAGGGGAGGCUGGAAUUCCUGGUGUAGCGGUGGAAUGCGCAGAUAUCAGGAGGAAUACCGGUGGCGAAGGCGGGUCUCUGGGCUGUUACUGACACUGAGGAGCGAAAGCAUGGGGAGCGAACAGG
rnacentral:rRNA from 1 species